CAGACAGGAGACAGGAGAGGGAGUGCAAAGAUUUGCUGUGUCAAGGAGUGCAGCCUUGAAACUCCAGCUGUUCCCGAAAACCACGGAAUUAGUAAGCUGUCACGGGUUUAUUCGCAAACUGCUCACAGCUACUUGAAAAUUGAAGUUCUCCUUUCCUCGGCAUGCCUCUUCAGAGCACUUCAUCCUGAGGGCAGACUAAUUUAAAGGCACCCCCAUGUCCAAAGAGCCAUGCUCCCAUCAACUUGCCCUAAUGAGCCAGAAACGAACCUGAUGAACCUGACUGAGACACGGCUCUGAGGUGUUGGGUGGCUGACUGCUGCAAACCUACCCAAGCACAGAGAAUUCAUCUCACUGAGGGGUGCAGACCUCGAGUGCCAGGCUGAGGUGAAGAGGUCCACAGCUGCAACAAGUCUGAGAAGAGAGAAUGACAGAGGCGAGAGGACCGUGAGGUGUUUCGAUUUGGUUCGGAAUUGAUUAUAAUAAACGAGUAUAAUAAAUUUCAAUGCAAGUUUUAGUACUUAGAGAGCGGUACAACAACUAUGGCAUAAUAUGAAAAUUCUGUCAUCAUUUAUGGGGAGUGAAGCCCUCAAACUUCAAAAAGGACACUUUUUUUUUUAAGCUUGAAUGCCUCAGUCCACAUUCAUUAUAACUGCAUGCAAAAGAGUAAGAAGUAAAUUAUUAAACAUUUCUUCUUUUGUGUGUAAAGACAAUAGUUUGGAAUGACAUGAGUAAAUGAUGACAGAAUUUUCAUUUCCAUAUACAAAUGGACAAUUUUUUACCAUUGAACCAUUAACAUUGGGUGUGAAAACAUUAACAUUAACAGUAACAUGCUGUGAAAAACAAAUUUACACUUGCUAAUGAAGAUCAGUUUACCACAUACACUAUCGUUCAAAUGUUUGACUUUGAGGUCAGUACGAUUUUUUAAAGAAAUGUAUACUUUUAUUCAGCAAGGAUGCACGCCUAGUUCUGUCAUGAAACUCUAGAUGGCGCAGGCUGAUGGGUCCUUAACGCAAGCUGGUGAUAUUUACAGCGUUAACUACUUGGCACAAGCUGACUGGUUUAUGUCGCAUCUGCAGCCAAUGAGCUUGCUUGCUCAACAUUUAAAUGGCUGGUUACCAUAGCAGUUUGCAACGCGCUUUCAGAGUUUGUCUAAAACCCUCCACCUUCCCCAGCUCCACCUGUAUAGAUCUGCUAUGGGUAACUGAAACACUGAAGACUGAAAAUUCAGCAUUCUCAUUACAGAAAUAAAUUCUACAAAAUAUAUUCAAAUAGAAAACAGUUAUUUGAAAUUCACAGUAUAACACUUUUACUGUAUUUUUGAUCAAACAAAUGCAGCCUUGGUGAACAUGAAACACUUAAAAAAAAAAAAAAAACAGAUCAGUAAAUAGACUGAUGGAAGUCCCACAAAGUGUACCUCACAAUAACAGUUCUUCAUUUUGAAUCAGAAUAUGACUGGUGGUUUAGUGAGGGAGUCUCCCCAAACUUUUGUGUAUGCCUAUAUGAUACACUUCUGUCUUUUUCUAGUCGUUCCUGAAAACAAUACUAUGUCCCGAAUAGACUGAGGCGAAGCGUACUGAACUAUGAAACAACACGGGUAAUGCAGGAGGGAGAGGCAGGUUCAGAGGAAACAGUGUUUCUUUUUUCAGAGAAAAGUGCCAAAUUAAAACAAAAACCUGGCAGAACAGAAUUAGCUCUUUAGUGGCCAAAUAAAUAGACCACUGCUUAAAAAUAUCACAAGACAACCUAAAUUCAAUGCAACAAUUCCCCAGAACAGGAGUGUGUUUCAUUUAUUGUUCAUUGCUGGGGUUAAGAAACCAGUCAACUUCAUGCAAAUAUUUGCAUGCAAACUUUAAAAUAAUUUUAUAACAUAAAACUUCAGAGCAGACAGCUGCAUUCAUCUUUUUUUCCUGUAAUCUGAACUUAUCUAACAACUGAGAUGUUAGACGGUGGAGCAAGCAGCCACAAGAAUAAUAGGUAUAUUGAUCUCCAGUGUGUGUGAAUGUCCCUCCUAUUGACUUGCCCCCUUGCAAAAGCACGAAUCUGGAUCACAAUAGGAUCCCAAUGCAAAUUCUAAGCACUGUUAAAUGUCCAGGCCAGAAGGGAGUGUUCAGUUCACUGCGUCCAGCACCACUGACCCAUACAGCAGGGUCUGGGCAGAAUGCAAAUACUAUUAGACUCUAUUUUGGGCAAGACUUGGGUGGAUCAGAGUUGGAGAUUGAAUCUGACCUCAGGUCAUGUGGCUGCGUGGUUCUACAGUAACCCAAACAAACAUGGUGGAGAGGCUUCCUGGAGUGAAUGAAAAGGGAAGCGCGUGGGUGUAGUCACACAAUCAGAGUUGCAGCAUAUAAAACGGUGUCACAAACAAGCGGAGAACACUUUAUAGUGCAAUUUAAUGACACAUUUUGUCUACUAUUAUACCUACCAAGCAUUUUCAAAACACACACACACACACACACACACACACACACUAAAGAUAUGCAUGACUAAGGGAAGGGAACGAUUCUAGUUACAUUCUUAAAGGGAUAGUUCAACCAAAAAUGAAAAUUAUCCCAUGAUUUACUCACCCUCAAGCCAUCCUAGGUGUAUAUGACUAUCUUCUUUUAGACGAACACAAUCGGAGAUAUAUUUAAAAAUAUCCUUAGUCCUCCAAGGUUUAUAAUGGUUGUGAAUGGGGGCGGGGGCAUGUUUUGAAGCCAAAAAUAAUGCAUCCA